GGAAAGUGGCGAGUAAGAUGGAAUAUGAGGAGGUUGCUGAGAGCUGGGAGGAGACGGCAGACAGCGGGGAAAUAGACGUCUGGAAAAAAAACUGAAGAUCACACAGAAAGCAGGAAAUUCAAAUCUCCCAAAGUGCCCAUUGUGAUUCAGGAUGAUAAUUUUCCCCCGGGACCCCCUCCACAGGUCCGCAUCCUCAAGAGGCCCACCAGCAACGGUGUGGUCAGCAGCCCCAAGUCCGCUAGCAGGCCCGCCCUUCCAGUCAAGUCCCUGGCACAGUGGGAAGCCGAGUACACCGAGGCCAGGAAGCGGAUCCUGGGCAGCGCCAACCCGAGGAGAAGCAGGAGAAACCCAUCCUCGAUAGGUCUUCCUCUGAUCUUCUUCCCUUCAGGCCAACCAGGAUCUCCUAACCCGAAGACAGCAGACAGCCCAAUAAUGUGAUCAGACAGCCUCUGGGUCCUGAUGGGUCACACGGCUUCAAACAGCGCAGAUAAAUGCAGGCAAGAAGAGAUGGCGCGACUGCCGCGUCAACGCGUCCUGGGUCGUCCGCCAAGGGUUGCACUACCGUGGCAGACAGCUGGACUUGAGCAGCGGGAACUUGACUUACUUGCCUGGUGAUCCCCGUUGCUCCGCCCACUGUGACCUUGAAUCCCAUGCACUGUGACCUCCCCCCUUCUCCUCCUUCCCACUGUGAUUGGCACUUUGACAAGGACUGUCCCAAGUCAAUGGAAAGGGAAAAAGGGUGAGGGUUAGGAGAAGGUUGGGGGGAACCCACCAAUUACUCAGAGUAGAGAGUCAGACAGGGCCAGCAAUAGCGGUUUAUCAUGCUCAUUAAUUUGGGAUUUCAAAACACAAAUGAACUCACACCUACCCACCCCCAAGUGCAUGUCAUCACUUAAAAAGUGAGUUCCAUUUGAAAAAAAAGAAAGCAAACUACCUGCUCACUCUAAAAGCAGUUGCUGUUGUUUGUGACUUUGCCAUUUAAAAAAAUACAGACCAGCUGCUGCUGUUUGCUUGCAUUCCACAGUUAUCUUGUGUCACUUUGCCCUUUGUUGUGCUUA